GGAGAGAUGGCCGAGUUGGCUGAAGGCGCUCGCCUGCUAAGCGAGUGUGCGAUGAAAGUUGCACCGAGGGUUCGAAUCCCUCUCUCUCCGCCA
rnacentral:tRNA from 1 species